rnacentral:rRNA from 1 species
UACAGAGGGGGCAAGCGUUAUUCGGAAUUAUUGGGCGUAAAGGGCGCGUAGGCGGCUUUGCAAGUGGCGGGUGAAAUCCCUCGGCUUAACCGAGGAACUGCCUGUCAAACUGCAUGGCUUGAGACCAGGAGAGGUGAGUGGAAUUCCCAGUGUAGCGGUGAAAUGCGUAGAUAUUGGGAGGAACACCAGUGGCGAAGGCGGCUCACUGGACUGGUACUGACGCUGAGGAGCGAAAGCGUGGGGAGCGAACAGG